AUUGAACGCUGGCGGCAGGCCUAACACAUGCAAGUCGAACGAGUGGCGCACGUGUGAGUAAUCUCUGGGAAACUGCCUGAUGGUGGGGGAUCACUCCUGGACACGUUAGCUAAUCCCGCAUACUCUCAGAUGUGCCCAGAUGGGAUUAGCUUGUUGGUGGGGUAACGGCGCACCAAGGAGACGAUCCCUAGCUGGUCUGAGAGGAUGACCAGCCACACUGAAACUGAGACACGGUCCAGACUCCUACGGGAGGCAGCAGUGGGGAAGAUUGCACAAUGGGAGCAAGCCUGAUGCAGCCAUGCAGCGUGGAUGAAGGAGUCCUUGGGGUUGUAAAGGACUUUCAGCGGGGAAGCGUUACCCGCAGAAGAAGCACCGGCUAACUCCGUGCCAGCAGCCGCGGUAAUAC
rnacentral:rRNA from 1 species